ACCUCAUUCAACGAGGAGGAGCAAGGUACAACAGCUCGUGCGAACAAAUGGUAUGUGCUAAGGAAAUCGUCAUAAAUUUGGAAAGCUAUAUUUCAGUUUUUUAAGAAAAACUCGACAUAUAGCGAGCAGGGUGUUUAAGUACGAUACUUUUAAUCAAAAACUUUACGCGGGUGUUGACCUUUCACCCUCAUUUUCUGAUAGUACCGUUGCGUGUUUGUUAGCUAGGCUAGCUAAGCUAUCUGCAACAUGAGUUAUGGUAGGCCCCCGCCCGAUGUUGAGGGCAUGACUUCUCUUAAAGUGGAUAAUCUGACGUACCGAACUUCACCUGAGACCCUUCGCCGUGUCUUCGAAAAGUAUGGUAGGGUAGGAGAUGUUUACAUCCCCCGAGAUCGUUAUACGAAAGAGAGCAGAGGGUUCUCCUUUGUGCGAUUCCAUGACAAGCGGGAUGCAGAGGAUGCGAUGGACGCAAUGGAUGGUGCCGUGCUGGACGGGCGCGAGCUGAGAGUCCAGAUGGCACGCUACGGACGUCCCCCAGAUUCUCACCAUGGAGGUGGUGGUGACCGUGGAGAGCGUGGUGACCGUCGGCGUGGAGGUGCUCCCCGGAGGUACGGGGGUGAUGGCCGACGAAGUAGGAGUCCCAGGCGUCGGAGACGCAGCAGAUCCCGGAGCAGAAGCCGAUCUCGUUCCCGCAGCCGUUCCCGCAACAGCCGAUCAAGGUCCCGUUCCUACUCUCGCUCCAAGUCCCGCUCCCCUAAGAGAGACAAGGCCAAGUCCCCAUCCAGGUCCCGCUCCAGAUCCAAAUCCAAGACCCCUAAGUCAAAGUCCCGUUCCAGGAGCCACACCCCUGCAGAAAGAGGCUCACGGUCAAGAUCCAAGAGCCAGCCCAAGUCACCUGGGGCGAAUGGCGCUGAAACCCCAUAGAUGAGUGACAAAAUGCUGCGGAAUCCUGUUUGCAAAAGAGGAGUUUGAGGCAGUAUGAGCAGUUAGUGAGCUGGGUGUGUGAGCUGUCCGGGCACCUGCUGCUGUGGGGGUUGCUAUGGAGCAGGCCGGUUGCAGGUUGCAGGCCGGUUGCAGGUUGCAGUCAGUGUUGGGGUGGUGUUGAGAUGAGACGCCAAUGAGGACGUCAGACUGCGGACCCUGUCCAUACAAUGAUUUCUGGUGUAAAAGGUUAUUAUUGUAUCUUGACCGGAAGGUGUUUUUUUUUUUUGUUUGCCCAGACUUGUCUUUCAGUGUGCAAUGUUUUAAUAAAUAAAUACUUACUGUGCUUUUGAGGUAGGUGGGCAAUACUGCUGGGAUUUGAAUUAGUUGGACUGCAUGGCUAUUUUCAGUAUCUAAAACUGUCAUAGUGAAGAUUUGCUGGCCUAGCUUUUACAACUGUUAUUUUGGGUUUCAUGAGAACUGUUCAGGGAGAUAUGGGGUUAGUGAAAGGCCAUUACAGAAGUUUAAAUGGAUAGGGCUUCCAAAAGCUUUUAGGAUAAGUACGGAAAGAACCAAGCACAGAUUUACUUGCAAGUGAACUUUGCGAUGUAGGUUUAUCUUUAAUUUAAUUGUGACUCUAAUCUUCUCUCCUGUAUUUUUUGUGCACUAGGCGCAGUUGUGUAGCAGUUGAGUAUUGCUGGUUAGCUGUUAAGGUGGCGUGUUGCAGUGCUUGGCUGUUUCCAGUGUUCUCCGGGAAUGCCCCUGUGGCUACAAUGCUGUGAUGGUGGCCAACUUAAAUGGCUGCUACAAAUUCACCAUCGGUAGAAUGCCUGUCUUGCUUUCAACACAAGUUUAAAUGUUCUCUAAUUCGGAGCACCAAGUAUGGUAUGCUAAUUUUUGUUUGUUUCAUUGUCAAACAGAACAGAUGCAUUCUGUCUUGCCCUUUUGUGCAUUCCUUUUCCCCCUUGCAAGAGUAUAAGUGUCCAAUGUGAAAGCUAAUAAAAAUUAUCUUCUAAAA